CCUACGGGAGGCAGCAGUGGGGAAUAUUGCACAAUGGGGGAAACACUGAUGCAGCGACGCCGCGUGAGUGAAGAAGGAAUUCGUUAUGUAAAGCUCUAUCAGCAGGGAAGAAAAUGACGGUACCUGAGUAAGAAGCCCCGGCUAACUACGUGCCAGCAGCCGCGGUAAUACGUAGGGGGCAAGCGUUAUCCGGAUUUACUGGGUGUAAGGGGAGCGUAGACGGCAGUGCAAGUCUGGAGUGAAAGGCGGGGGGUCAACCCCCGGACUGCUCUGGAAACUGGAAGGCUGGAGUGCAGGAGAGGUAAGUGGAAUGCGGAGUGUAGCGGUGAAAUGCGUAGAUAUUGGGAGGAACACCGAGGGCGAAGGCGGCAUCCCGGAUUCACACUGACGUUGAGGCACGAAAGCGUGGGGAGCGAACAGGAUUAGAUACCCGGGUAGUC
rnacentral:rRNA from 1 species